rnacentral:rRNA from 1 species
GCAGUAGCCGCGGGAAUACGGAGGGUGCAAGCGUUAAUCGGAAUUACUGGGCGUAAAGCGCACGCAGGCGGUCUGACAAGUCAGAUGUGAAAUCCCCGGGCUUAACCUGGGAACUGCAUUUGAAACUGUCAGGCUGGAGUCUUGUAGAGGGGGGUGGAAUUCCAGGUGUAGCGGUGAAAUGCGUAGAGAUCUGGAGGAAUACCGGUGGCGAAGGCGGCCCCCUGGACAAAGACUGACGCUCAGGUGCGAAAGCGUGGGGAGCAAACAGGAUUAGAUACCCGCGUAGUCCCUGUCUCUUAUAU